USCUUCUUGAUUUAAUAUGAAGUCGUACCUGCCCAAUGAGGUUUUUAAUGGCCGCGGUAUAUUGACCGUGCAAAGGUAGCAUAAUCAUUAGUCUUUUAAUUGAAGGCUGGAAUGAAUGGUUUGACGAAAUAAUUACUGUCUCGUGAUGAUGACUUGAAUUUUACUUUUGAGUCAAAAGGCUCAAAUGAUAAUAGGGGACGAGAAGACCCUAUAGAUCUUGAUAAUAUGCAUUAAAUUUUUUGUUUAGAUUGUAUUUAAUUAUUUUUAAUGUAUUGUAUUUGGUUGGGGUGACAAGGGAAUAUAAUAACUUCUUAUUAUUUAACUAUGAUGAUUGGUUAAUUGAACCUAUAUUAUGGAAUAAAGAUGAAGAUACCUUAGGGAUAACAGCGUAAUGUUAUUGGAGAGUUCUUAUUGAUAAUAAAGAUUGCGACCUCGAUGUUGGAUUAAGAAAAUUAUUAGGUGCAGAAGCUUAAUUUAUUGGUCUGUUCGACCAUUAAA
rnacentral:rRNA from 1 species